rnacentral:rRNA from 1 species
UUGAAGAGUUUGAUCAUGGCUCAGAUUGAACGCUGGCGGCAGGCCUAACACAUGCAAGUCGAACGGUAACAGGAAGCAGCUUGCUGCUUCGCUGACGAGUGGCGGACGGGUGAGUAAUGUCUGGGAAACUGCCUGAUGGAGGGGGAUAACUACUGGAAACGGUGGCUAAUACCGCAUAACGUCGCAAGACCAAAGAGGGGGACCUUCGGGCCUCUUGCCAUCAGAUGUGCCCAGAUGGGAUUAGCUUGUUGGUGAGGUAACGGCUCACCAAGGCGACGAUCCCUAGCUGGUCUGAGAGGAUGACCAGCCACACUGGAACUGAGACACGGUCCAGACUCCUACGGGAGGCAGCAGUGGGGAAUAUUGCACAAUGGGCGCAAGCCUGAUGCAGCCAUGCCGCGUGUAUGAAGAAGGCCUUCGGGUUGUAAAGUACUUUCAGCGGGGAGGAAGGUGUUGUGGUUAAUAACCGCAGCAAUUGACGUUACCCGCAGAAGAAGCACCGGCUAACUCCGUGCCAGCAGCCGCGGUAAUACGGAGAGUGCAAGCGUUAAUCGGAAUUACUGGGCGUAAAGCGCACGCAGGCGGUCUGUCAAGUCGGAUGUGAAAUCCCCGGGCUCAACCUGGGAACUGCAUUCGAAACUGGCAGGCUUGAGUCUUGUAGAGGGGGGUAGAAUUCCAGGUGUAGCGGUGAAAUGCGUAGAGAUCUGGAGGAAUACCGGUGGCGAAGGCGGCCCCCUGGACAAAGACUGACGCUCAGGUGCGAAAGCGUGGGGAGCAAACAGGAUUAGAUACCCUGGUAGUCCACGCCGUAAACGAUGUCUACUUGGAGGUUGUGCCCUUGAGGCGUGGCUUCCGGAGCUAACGCGUUAAGUAGACCGCCUGGGGAGUACGGCCGCAAGGUUAAAACUCAAAUGAAUUGACGGGGGCCCGCACAAGCGGUGGAGCAUGUGGUUUAAUUCGAUGCAACGCGAAGAACCUUACCUGGUCUUGACAUCCACAGAAGAAUCCAGAGAUGGAUUUGUGCCUUCGGGAACUGUGAGACAGGUGCUGCAUGGCUGUCGUCAGCUCGUGUUGUGAAAUGUUGGGUUAAGUCCCGCAACGAGCGCAACCCUUAUCCUUUGUUGCCAGCGAUUAGGUCGGGAACUCAAAGGAGACUGCCAGUGAUAAACUGGAGGAAGGUGGGGAUGACGUCAAGUCAUCAUGGCCCUUACGACCAGGGCUACACACGUGCUACAAUGGCGCAUACAAAGAGAAGCGACCUCGCGAGAGCAAGCGGACCUCAUAAAGUGCGUCGUAGUCCGGAUUGGAGUCUGCAACUCGACUCCAUGAAGUCGGAAUCGCUAGUAAUCGUGGAUCAGAAUGCCACGGUGAAUACGUUCCCGGGCCUUGUACACACCGCCCGUCACACCAUGGGAGUGGGUUGCAAAAGAAGUAGGUAGCUUAACCUUCGGGAGGGCGCUUACCACUUUGUGAUUCAUGACUGGGGUGAAGUCGUAACAAGGUAACCGUAGGGGAACCUGCGGUUGGAUCACCUCCUU